UCGACUGUAACACCAGUGUUGCGCUAUUGUAUAAUAUGUUAUAUACGUUAUGUUAUUCUAGGGAAAUUGUAUUUUCAUAGCUAGGGCUGACAGUGAAGACUUGCGAAGAGCAGAAUCACAACCUCUGCAUCAUCAAAACAGUUGCUUGAAUAAGGAAGACCUGAGACUCAGAAGUGGUUCCUUACAAAAUGACUCAUCACAUUAUGAAAUGUGUGUAUGUGUGUGCACACACGCACACAAACACACGUGUGAAGUACUCGAUCAGAGAAGUGUCAGCCUGGCAGCUUCACUAUACUACUAGAGAUGUCUGGAACAACAGCAAACAAACUAUGCCAUACCAGCUACUAGCAGUGAGUAGCACAACUCCAGCGGGCUGAAUUGGGUGCAAAUGAUCUCCUUACAACCAGAUGAUGUCAUUGUAUCGGUGUCGUUUAUUUCUCCCAGUGUAUUUAUCAUUUAUUAUUUAUGCCUGCCUUGACCUCGAGCCUGCCUGCCUUAACCUCGAGCCUGCCUGCCUUAACCUCGAGCCUGCCUGCCUUGACCUCGAGCCUGCCUGCCUUGACCUCGAGCCUGCCUGCCCGCCCUUUGACUAGAUAAGAGGGGCCAGCCUGCUUCAAGGUGACGCAACAAAAAUCGAAUGAACUUAUCCUCUGCAGCAGAGGUAACUCUGAGUUUUCCUUUCCUGUGGCGGUCCUCAUGAGAGCCAGUUUCAUCAUAGCGCUUAAUGGUUUUUGCGACUGCACUUGAAGAAACUUUCAAAGUUCUUGAACAUUUC